AAUUUUGAAUGAAUUAGGCAGCAACCAUUUGAUUUUCUGGGGGGGGCUAUGGUUUUUUUUUCUGGACAAUUUUUUUUUUUUUCGCCUGCGGCGAAAAACAAUCUAUUUUUUUCGCGACAAGUCGAAAACAAUUUUUUUCUUUCAAUUUUAGCAUUACAUAUAGUGGCAGCUGAGGGUGAAACAAACAUUUUUUUUUUCUCAGAAUCAAAAACAAAUUAUUUUUUUCUCCAAAAACUGGAAACAAACUUUUUUUUCCAAAAAAAACCAUAGCCCCCCCCCCCCCC
rnacentral:lncRNA from 1 species